AGAUCUUCACCUUUGCAGAGGCUUAUGAUUUUGAAGAUCUGGAAUCUAUGGUUGAAGAAAUAGGCAGAGCAUUCAAGACAAAGAUAAUGUUUAUAUAUGUUGACACUGCUGAAGAAAACCUUGCAAAACCAUUCCUCACUCUUUAUGGCCUUGAAUCAG